CAAACACUAACUUCACACGCAAGCACCGUGUUCGAUCAUAUAGUUUCAGUAAACUUUAUUCUCACUGGAGAUUAACACUCCCUGAAUGUAUAUUAUUUCAUACGCACAAGCUUCUUUAGUGAUCAUCGUGAAGACAGAUAAACCGAGGCAGCUCAGUGGACCACCCCCGCAGCCCCGACUGCCAGCAGCACGAGCAGUGGCAGACCACGCCGGGACACCAGCUGCGACUCUGCUCCAUCGCCCUCCGUAGUUGUCUCUUCGCCACCUCCGGCCGGUGCUGCUGCUCCGUCAGACGGGGAGUCAGAACCAGCCUCAGUAUCACCCCUCUUCUUCCUCACUAAAUAGAACGAGAAACACUUCUACAGUAAGCAGUGAGUAUUCUCACUCGUAUCUGGACACACAAUUUUAGUUAUUUUUGAUGUUAUACAAGUCAUACUUUUUCGAAGUAAUAACUGUUUUAAUAAGACUA
rnacentral:misc_RNA from 1 species